rnacentral:ncRNA from 1 species
GGAAAGGCCGUGAAGGGGAAGAGUAGGCCAGCCGGAUGUACCCGGACAGAGAGCGGGGUAAGGUGGAAGCCCGCCGGGGAAAACUGGCCGAACAUGGCCCUGGAGCCGCGCUGCCGAAAGAGGAGUAGGCUGCGCCGGGUGAGCGCCGUUACCAGGCUUGGGUACCGGGAAGCAUGUUUCCCCGUACCGGUGAGGCCGGCUCCGCGAGGAGCAGGUGAACGAGGGUGGUACCGCGGGAGUUAAAACUUUCGCCCCUGGC